rnacentral:rRNA from 1 species
AUGGCCGUCGACGCCGCCACCGCCCCCUCCGAGCUCGGCAGCAGCAUCCGCGGCGAGGGGGAGGUCGCGGCCAAGCCGCUCCCCUCCGCCGCUGCACCGGCGGCGCGGGAGAGCCUCGAGGAGCUGGACCGGAGGUACGCUCCGUACGCGCGGCGGGACGCGUACGGGCCCAUGGGCCGCGGCCCCCUGGGGGCGGCGGAGGCGGCGCGGAUGGCCGUGGCCGCGGCCGUGCUCCUCCCGCUCCGGGUCGUGGCCGGCGUGCUCGUGCUCGUCGCCUACUACCUCGUGUGCCGCGUGUGCACGCUGUGGGUGGAGGAGGAGCGGGCGGGGGGCGAGGGGGAGGGCUACGCGCGGCUCGAGGGGUGGAGGCGGGCGUGGGUCGUGCGAUGCGGCCGCUUGCUCUCACGUGCCAUGCUCUUCGUCUUUGGCUUCUACUGGAUCCGCGAGCACGACCGCCGCUUCCCCGAUGCCGAGGGCAAGGAUCUGGGCCAGUCUGAAUUAUUGGAAAGACCAGGGGCAAUUGUAUCUAAUCAUGUAUCAUAUGUGGAUAUUCUUUAUCACAUGUCAUCUUCUCUUCCAAGUUUUGUUGCUAAGAGAUCAGUGGCCAGAUUGCCCCUAGUUGGUCUCAUAAGCAAAUGCAUUGGUUGUAUUUUUGUUCAGCGAGAGUCUAAAACUUCAGAUUUCAAAGGUGUUUCAGGUGCUGUAACUGAAAGAAUCCAGCGAGCUCAUCGACAAAAGAAUUCUCCGAUGAUGUUGCUCUUUCCUGAGGGCACAACUACAAACGGGGAUUAUCUCCUUCCAUUCAAGACAGGGGCCUUUCUCGCAAGAGCACCAGUACAACCUGUCAUUUUAAGAUACCCUUACAAGAGAUUCAGUCCAGCAUGGGACUCCAUGGAUGGGGCACGCCAUGUAUUUCUGCUCCUUUGUCAGUUUGUGAAUCAUCUAGAGGUUGUGCAUUUGCCUGUGUACUAUCCUUCUGAGCAAGAAAAAGAUGAUCCGAAGCUCUACGCAGAUAAUGUACGGAAAUUAAUGGCAGUGGAGGGAAACUUGAUUCUUUCAGAUCUUGGGUUAGCGGAGAAGCGAGUGUACCAUGCAGCCCUGAAUGGUAAUAAUAGUCUGCCUCGUGCCUUACACAAGAAAGAUGAUUGA